rnacentral:rRNA from 1 species
AUUGAACGCUGGCGGCAUGCCUUACACAUGCAAGUCGAACGGUAACAGGUCUUCGGAUGCUGACGAGUGGCGAACGGGUGAGUAAUACAUCGGAACGUGCCUAGUAGUGGGGGAUAACUACUCGAAGGAGUGGCUAAUACCGCAUGAGAUCUACGGAUGAAAGCAGGGGACCGCAAGACCUUGUGCUACUAGAGCGGCCGAUGGCAGAUUAGGUAGUUGGUGGGAUAAAAGCUUACCAAGCCGACGAUCUGUAGCUGGUCUGAGAGGACGAUCAGCCACACUUGGACUGAGACACGGCCCAGACUCCUACGGGAGGAAGCAGUGGGGAAUUUUGGACAAUGGGCGAAAGCCUGAUCCAGCAAUGCCGCGUGCAGGAUGAAGGCCUUCGGGUUGUAAACUGCUUUUGUACGGAACGAAAAGCCCCGGGUUAAUACCCUGGGGUCAUGACGGUACCGUAAGAAUAAGCACCGGCUAACUACGUGCCAGCCGCCGCCGUAA